rnacentral:tRNA from 1 species
UAGAGUGCAGCUCAGUGGUACAGCACUUGCUUGGCAUGCAUGAGGCCCUGGGUUCCAUCCCAGCACUGAAG